rnacentral:rRNA from 1 species
GCAGCAGUAGGGAAUCUUCGGCAAUGGGGGCAACCCUGACCGAGCAACGCCGCGUGAGUGAAGAAGGUUUUCGGAUCGUAAAGCUCUGUUGUAAGUCAAGAACGGGUGUGAGAGUGGAAAGUUCACACUGUGACGGUAGCUUACCAGAAAGGGACGGCUAACUACGUGCCAGCAGCCGCGGUAAUACGUAGGUCCCGAGCGUUGUCCGGAUUUAUUGGGCGUAAAGCGAGCGCAGGCGGUUUGAUAAGUCUGAAGUUAAAGGCUGUGGCUCAACCAUAGUUCGCUUUGGAAACUGUCAAACUUGAGUGCAGAAGGGGAGAGUGGAAUUCCAUGUGUAGCGGUGAAAUGCGUAGAUAUAUGGAGGAACACCGGUGGCGAAAGCGGCUCUCUGGUCUGUAACUGACGCUGAGGCUCGAAAGCGUGGGGAGCGAACAGGAUUAGAUACCCUGGUAGUCCACGCCGUAAACGAUGAGUGCUAGGUGUUGGAUCCUUUCCGGGAUUCAGUGCCGCAGCUAACGCAUUAAGCACUCCGCCUGGGGAGUACGACCGCAAGGUUGAAACUCAAAGGAAUUGACGGGGGCCCGCACAAGCGGUGGAGCAUGUGGUUUAAUUCGAAGCAACGCGAAGAACCUUACCAGGUCUUGACAUCCCGAUGCUAUUUCUAGAGAUAGAAAGUUACUUCGGUACAUCGGUGACAGGUGGUGCAUGGUUGUCGUCAGCUCGUGUCGUGAGAUGUUGGGUUAAGUCCCGCAACGAGCGCAACCCCUAUUGUUAGUUGCCAUCAUUCAGUUGGGCACUCUAGCGAGACUGCCGGUAAUAAACCGGAGGAAGGUGGGGAUGACGUCAAAUCAUCAUGCCCCUUAUGACCUGGGCUACACACGUGCUACAAUGGUUGGUACAACGAGUUGCGAGUCGGUGACGGCGAGCUAAUCUCUUAAAGCCAAUCUCAGUUCGGAUUGUAGGCUGCAACUCGCCUACAUGAAGUCGGAAUCGCUAGUAAUCGCGGAUCAGCACGCCGCGGUGAAUACGUUCCCGGGCCUUGUACACACCGCCCGUCACACCACGAGAGUUUGUAACACCCGAAGUCGGUGAGGUAACCUUUUGGAGCCAGCC